UGUAACAGCAAAUAUCUUUAGAUAUUACUGAGACUAUGGUCACCUUUUAGAUAAUCAGUCUCUCCAUAUCCAAAGUUUAAAAUAUCCUGCAGUUAGUUGAAGCUAUUUCUGUCACUCCACAAGUAUCACUGUGACUCUAUCACAUGCCAGGCCAUGGACCAGGUGGUGCAGGAGUAGCCAGGCAGCAGUGUGGAUACUGACAACAGUAGUGACCACGCCAGUCCUGGAAUCCCAGGCCAGAGAGUUGUGCAUGAGACAGAAGUACACAUCGUCCUUAUGGAGGUCACUGUUUAAGGUUUCCUGUUACUCAGGCCAAGCCUAACCCUAUUUGUACAGAAGGUAAGUGAGUUUCGACAGCUGCUGUCUGGCUUCCUAAGGAAAGAGAGGGCAAGAUCACCAAACCGAGUGAGAAUGAGGGAAGGAAGUGGAGUGCAAGUAGAAAAGACAUGAAAUUAUCACUGUGGAAAGGGAGAGGCUGGAGAAACACAGCAACACAUCUGGACACUGGUACCAUAAGGCUGGUGCUCAGGACUUCCUAGAUACUUGCUGAGCUGACCGUGAUCUGCAUAAUGUUACAUGGCAGAUGGGGAAACAGUUCUCUUCAGCCAGUUGCUGCAGCAGGGGUUGGCCCCACAGGGAUGCUGCAGUUCCGGUGAUGACCACCGUUCAGAAAGGCAGUAGAGCCCACCGUAGGCAGACUUCUGGACUCCAAGAGAAGCCACUGGAGGAAUUCAAGCAGGAGGACUACAUCACCUGAUUUAUGCUUUGAAGAGCUCUCUAAGUGACAUGAGAUCUGGAAAACACCAGCUUCAACUCAAGGGAGCAUGGGAGAGAAGCUCAGAAUGGCAACAACAGGCCUGGAAAAUAACCAGCCCACGUGGAAAGGGCAACGGAGGACCCCAGGAAGAGGAGGGUCUCUACUAGGAGAUGUGGGUGGAAAGGAUUUUUCUAAAACACCUCAGAUGCUCAAGCAUUUACAAAAGAGAUAGAAAGGAUGAGGAGGUGAUGUUCAAACAAACAAAUUAAAAAGAAAAAAUAUAGGCAAUUAGACCAGGGAAAACAAAAACAGAUGUAAUCAUGGCAUACUAUUUAGCUUUGAGGUAAAUAAUAUUUGUAUGUCAUGAUAACAUAAGUGAUUAUUGAUUUCAAAAUGAUGAUAUUUACUUCCAAUGGUUCAGGUAAAAAUAUACAUCUUGCUAGAGAGACAGAAACUAUGACAGCAAAUAGAAUUUAACAUUAAAAUUUUUUAAUUAAAAAAUAAAAAUAGUUUAAUGUUAAGAAAUUAAGGAUAUGUGUGAAAUCUUUAUAUCACUGAGAUUUCUGUAACCUUGAAAUAUUUUCUAAAUAAAGAGUCAAAACUAAAAGUAUAAUUAUAUAGGGAAGUAGAGAUGCUGCUGUAAAAGAAUUAAAUCCUUUAUAAUAGCAAUAAAUCAGUAGAUAAUGUUUAAAAUUACUCUAUAAAGACACAGCAGUAUAAUCAUUUUAUGAAGUGGUGGUUACUAGAAGAAAGAGCUGAGAACUUCCUGUACAUUGCAGUUGAGAAACAUGGGCUUGGAUGGAAAACUUUUGGAAGUAUUUGGAUUUUUAAAGCGUGCUUGCAUUACUAUGAUCUAAAAAACGUGUUAAUCUUACCAGCCCAAAACUCUCUACGCUUUUCCACUUGCAAAGAAUUUGCAUUAAGUAUUUCAAUAAGAAGUUUCACAUUUUUUCUUAAAAGAUAGGUCCCAUACUUUGCUUAUUGAAUUUUCAGGUAAAACAAGACAAAGAAUUUGAACAAUUAGUUUAACAACAGCUUUUUCUGGCUGCUCUGGGGAGAAAAAUUUGGAAAGGGGUGUCUGCCAGUGAUCUCAUCUUGUUUUUUGCCAGUAGGCAAAACAAUGUAUAAUAGCUCUCAUGGUGCUUCCAAGGCCUAAAGCCAAAAGAGUGUACUAAAAAAUCAGUGACAGUUUAACCAUUGUGCAAAAUGGCACAGGGGAGUGCGGAGUAGCUGUAGUGAUAACUUGUUUUCUUCUCUAUAAUAAAGAAGAAAAGAAAGAAGAAAGGAAUAAAAGCAAGGAAAA